AGUGAACGCUGGCGGUAGGCCUAACACAUGCAAGUCGAACGGCAGCACAGUAAGAGCUUGCUCUUACGGGUGGCGAGUGGCGGACGGGUGAGGAAUACAUCGGAAUCUACUUUUUCGUGGGGGAUAACGUAGGGAAACUUACGCUAAUACCGCAUACGACCUACGGGUGAAAGCAGGGGAUCUUCGGACCUUGCGCGAUUGAAUGAGCCGAUGUCGGAUUAGCUAGUUGGCGGGGUAAAGGCCCACCAAGGCGACGAGCCGUAGCUGGUCUGAGAGGAUGAUCAGCCACACUGGAACUGAGACACGGUCCAGACUCCUACGGGAGGCAGCAGUGGGGAAUAUUGGACAAUGGGCGCAAGCCUGAUCCAGCCAUACCGCGUGGGUGAAGAAGGCCUUCGGGUUGUAAAGCCCUUUUGUUGGGAAAGAAAAGCAGCAGGUUAAUACCCCGCUGUUCUGACGGUACCCAAAGAAGAAGCACCGGCUAACUUCGUG
rnacentral:rRNA from 1 species